UGCCCCAUGGCUGAGUUGGUUACAGCGUCCGACUGUUACCUCUCCCCUUGGUGAUGACCAACAAUCGGAAGGUCGUGAGUUCGAGCCUCACUGGGGCAG